AGGAAAUAAUGUUCUACCACAUCCAUUCCUCAAGCAGCUGAGAGAGGAAAUCCACCUACAUCGUUGCUGAGAUUGUAGCAAGGAUCAAGAACAGAAUACAUUUACCCCCUUGUGGCUGCAUUUUGCAUUUUAUUGGCCAGAGGGGAGGCGGCCUCCUCUAUGUCACCAGCAGUGCUCAUAAUUUCUUCAGCCACUCCCGGCUUGGAUCUUGGGGUCCUGGGGGUGGCUGGGCAUGUCGGGCAUGUCCCCAUCAUCUCAGAGGGGCACUGGAUAGUUGUAGGAUGUGGCCUGGUCAAUUAUGGUGGCAUAUUUGAUGAAGGGGCUAAGGAUGGGCAGAAUUGUAGCGAGGCCUCCUUAGUGAAGGAUGCAACCGGCACUCGUUCCUUAGCCCAGGUAUCCUCGAGGAAGGUGGCACCAGCUUAUUUUUUUAAAGAUGUUAUUUUUAAGUAAUCUCUAUACCCAGUGUGGGGCUCAAACUUAACCCUGAGAUCAAGAGUUGCAUACUCUACUGACCAAGCCAGCUAGAUGCCCCAAGAACAGAAUAUACUUUUAAUAAAAGGACGCUAUAGGAAGAGCCUGGAAGAUACAUUCGGGAAGUCAACUGAGCCACUGAGUGCCACAACCCCUGAGGAUAAAUGGUGAUUUCUGAGAGCUAAGCCCAGGGAACAAAGAUUACCUGAAUAGGUAAUACAAGCCAGAUAACUAUAGAGAGCAGUUUCAACCACUUGAGUACUGGCAAUGGAACUUAGAAAUUGGAAGAUGCCACUUCUCUAGGGACUGAGAUGAGAGAUCUUUAUAUGAAUUGAAAAUUCAGGGGCGCCUGGGUGGCGCAGUCGGUUAAGCGUCCGACUUCAGCCAGGUCACGAUCUCACGGUCUGUGAGUUCGAGCCCCGCGUCAGGCUCUGGGCUGACGGCUCAGAGCCUGGAGCCUGUUUCCGAUUCUGUGUCUCCCUCUCUCUCUGCCCCUCCCCCGUUCAUGCUCUGUCUCUGUCUGUCCCAAAAAUAAAUAAAAACGUUGAAAAAAAAAAUUAAAAAAAAAAAAAAAAGAAAAUUCAGACAGGAAAAUUUUGAAUGAAUUUAAAAUAAUGAUGAACAGUGGGGUCUAGAAGAGACUUCACAAACUUUCAACAUUUUAAAUCUCAUAAAAUAUUUGCCACAAUGUAUUUCUAAACUUUCCCUUAACUUUACUUGAGUGCCUCCUGACAGUAUACUAAGUUGGAUGGCCUCUGAGUUGGUUUAGGACAUUCCUUCCUUCCUUCCUGAAGUCUUUUUAAGUCUUCCCCCUUCCCCCCCACCCAAUGAUUAAUAGGCAUGCCUUAUAUAUGUCACUUAUCACACACAUAUUAUAAGCUGUAUUGCCAAGAAUAUUGACGAAAAAUAUAUUCUAUGCCAGGCCAUAAAUACUAGUGGAAAGAAUGGAAAAAGAGGCAAAAUGCCCAUGUAGUAGGGUGGAAAAGACAUAAGCUUUAACUCAGAUUUGAUUCCUGAUUCUUCUAACAGUGAGACUCUGGGCAAGCUCUUCAAGCUUCCUUUUCUUUCAUUAUAGAAUAUCUAUACUCUCUGCAGAAUGGCUCUAAGUAUUAAAUAACACAUAAAUUGCUUACAGUGCCUGGCACAUUCAUAGUAGGCAUUCACAUGUUCUCUUCCUCCUCCCAGUGUCCAAGUUUAAAAUACAUAUCGUCAACUGUACUUCCAUAAUAAAAUUUUUUAGAAAGGACAUCUUUUUCAUAGAUUAUCCAUGAUAGAGUAAAAGGGGCUGAUUCCAAUGCACAUAUAGUUUUAGGAAUUGAGAAUGAAUUCCUACCAUGAUGAAAAGCCUUCUUCCCAUCUAGACUGACACUGUAUUCCUAGAUCUAGUAGACCAUAUGGGGUGUCAAAUACCAAAAGUUUAACAGUGACCACCUCUGUAAAAUGAUAGCUACAAGGGUGAACAGAGAAAAGGACUUUCAUGUUUACAUAAUUAUGUAGUGUGAAAAUUUUUAUAAUGAACAUAUAUUGCAUGAAUUUUUAAAAUUAAGUUUGAAAAAGGAUCACCACUUGAUUCACAAACCUAAGUAAGAGUGAAGAUCCUUAGAAUGAAGCAUUUUGAUGGUUUAACUACUUGGUGUUUUCCAAGUUGCACUCAAAAUUGUCAAUAUUUACUUUGGUCAAAUGAGUAAGUCUAGAUACAUAUAUUGGAAUGCCAAUUCCAAAAAUCAUAUGACAGAAUUUAAGAAGGCAUAUUAUCAAUACUCUCACUCUAUUCUCUCACACAGACCCAGAAAGGUUAGAGGAUUCCUGGAGUCAGUCCCAUCAGAUGCUAUUAGAGCUAGAAUUACAAUCCCAACAUUUUGGGUCCUAAUUCCAUGUUGUUUUCACAGCCUGAAAAUCAAGAAUAAGUCUUCAAAAAUGUGUGCCAUCGAAAACUUUUUUUUAGCUUUAUGGAAUGUAAGUGGCCUUUUCUCUUUGAGCUGGUAUUUUAUUUAUUUAUUUACUUAAGAGAGAGAGAAAGAAAAUGCACAAGCGGGGGUGGGGGGGGGAGUAGACUCCAUGCUCAGCAGGGAGCUGGAUGUGGGCUCAAUCCCACACCUGAGAUUAUGACCUGAGCCAAAGUCAAAAGUCGGAUGCUCAAGUGAUGGAGACACCAGAUGCCUCAGCAAGUAUUUUAAAAGUUAUUUAUAAGAGGCUUCUUGCUGGCCACCCCACAGCCUGCAGUCACAUACUCAUCACUGGUCUGAUUUCCCUUGAAUAGUCUAUCCAUUAUCUGGAUCCCAAUAUAAGGACCUUCUCAUCUCCAAAAUUCCAAAGCACUCACCUGGUCUUUGACUCCCAGGUCUCUUGGUGUGGCCUACUUGAGUAGUAUGUAUUCUCUAACCUGCACUUGUUGCUUUGUACCAGCAUUCCCAGUAUCUGUGCCUUGUCAUCUGAUCUGCUGUUGCCCACUGUCCCUGCACAAACAUCUAAAACCAUUCUUCUUUUUAGGGGGAUGGAAGGAGGGCUUUUGAUGCAUUCAAUCAAUUCCCUUCCUCAGUGGUUUUCCUAUUGUGACCCUGAGCAAGAACAUGAUAAAUUUCUUUGGGGAAGAGGCUCAAGACAUCUUCCUUCCCCUCUUGUCAGCUGUAAAGCUAGAAUGGAAACUGUCUGAUGGUUAUCAGAAAUUCACUUAAUCACAUGAAGAUCUCAUCUAAAAAUAAAAGCCAAAUACACGUUUCUUUGUUUUUGCGUAUAUUUACAAUAUAAAUAUUAAUUUGUUUUCAAAGUACAUAUUUUUUUUUAACAAUUUGCAAAAGUUAUCUAGCAUGGGACAGCAAUUUAAUGUAAAGCUUCUGUAGUAGCAAUUAAGGAAAAAUAGAACUGUUUUGGGAGUAAGGAGUUCUAGAAGGAAUAUGAAUGGGCAUAAUGAUCUGAAUUUGCAAAGGGAAUGUGAAGCAGCUUAGUCCACGUUGCACUGCCAAAAACAGCAUGUUACAGGACUAGUAUGUGAGAUAGCAACCAGGAUGGGAUAUUGUAAAAACUAAACCUUGGAGAUAUAAAAAGUACACAUGCUUGCAUAGUGCGUUAAUCUUAAAGAAGCUCAACAUUUCAUUCUCAUUUUCAAUAAAUUAAAUGAAUAGUACUUAAAACACAUCACACACAAAAUUAAAGACUUGUGCAUAUAUUUUGGAUUUCAACAUUAAUGUCAAAAAUACAUAGUAUGAUUUUACAUAGGAUUUGUGCUACAUUAGAACACUAGAGACAAACAUCACUUGAGUAUUAAGGAAAACAUUAAAUAUUAAAUAACUGAGAAAUAAAAUGUGUAAACACUAAUCUAAUUGGGGAAGGGGGGGUUGCUAUUGCAACACGUCCAAUGAAGUGGUUUCAACAGUACAAAAUGGAUUAGGACAUGAGUGUUUCCAGUCUACUUGGAAUAUGUGGAUCUCAUUCCAGGAAUCCUUUAAUAAAAACUGGUCCAGGAUAACAGGAGAGGAUCCACCCUCCUGGAUGUUAAUUGGUGCACUCCGUUCUAUGCUAAUUUUUACUUUCAAACUUGGGUACUGAGCGAACGCUUUAAAUUGUCACUCCUUAUCAACAUCUUGGUGAAAACUGAGGGUUUGUUGGCGAUUCAGUGUAAGAUUUGAGUUCAUACGCAGCACCGCUAUCAACUUCCAUUGACUUUCUAGAGAACAGGAGCCGUACAUCUCUAUGGAGGUAGAUCUUUCCAGAUUUAGAACUCUGGAACCUAAACAAACAAAAAGAUGCAUUAUUUCAGGGAAUGAGUCUUUAAAAUAAAGUUCAGUAAAUUUUGAAAGCAAGAAGGAGUCUUGCUACCAAUAUUAAGAGUAACUGUUUAACAAGAUACUUAGUCUUACAUUGCUAAAGUAUGUGCUGCUAUUUAAGUGCCUCUUCCUUACUAUUCCCUAAACAUCCCAUACUCCCUUUCCUUCUUACAAUGUCAGAGAUAUUUUUUUAUUUACAUAAUCUCUACAUCCCAUGUGGGGUUCAAACUCAUGACCCUGAGAUCAAGAGUCACAUGUUCCUCUGACUGAACCAGCCAGGUGCCCCAGAGAUGUUUCUUAUUUCUAUAAAGCUUGUUUCACAUGUGAUCCUUUUUUUUUUUUAAAUCUCUGACACCAUAACACAUGCACUUUCCCUUAUCUACAAUGUCAAGUUUCAGUUCACAUCAGUCAAUUAUACUACAUUUGGGCUUUGCAGCCCUAGCAUCUUACAGUCACACAGACUGCCUUAUUUCAUAUAACUUGCCCUCCCCCAAUUGUGAGUACAUUAAAAUGGAUUCCACACUUGAGAAGUCACCACAGGAAAUAAUCAACUAUUGAGGACAAUUACUGCUAUCAUCAGUAAUGGCUAGCUAAUAAAGCCUAAUCAUCAUUAAAAAGACAAAAAUUUGUAGUGAAAUGAAAAUGGUUAUCAAUACUGUAUAUGGAACUGUAUUCCCUGCUAAUACCUGUAACAUAAUACAGGGUGCUGGAGUCUUUUGUCAUAUAAACUUAUCUGGCAGACAUUCAAACAUAUCCUUUUGUGCUAAUCUCUCUGGUUUACCCUUUGCAUAGCAGAAAUACUCUUUGGGUUUAUGAAUUUUACUCCUAAAUUAGCUGAAAAAUCUGGUGGCCAGUUUUAUGUGAGCUGAACGCCAGCUCACUCUUUCAAUCUGUCUGAAGUUUUUUCACCUUCUCAAUCUGAAGGAGAAAAAUGAGAGCUUUGGGAAGUAUACCAUACUCAUACAUAUAUAUGGUAUACUUCCGAAAGAGGUUUCUUUACAGCAUUUAAAGUAUCUAAUCACUCUGUGGGGAUUAUAUAAAAGCUGGCGUAGUUCAUGUUUACUUUGGAGAAUGUUGGUUAUUUAUGGUGGUUAAACUUCAAGAGGAAUGGUAUCAAAUGGAAGUUUAGAGAGAGUUGAAUCUUAUCCUAGCUUGGGCUGGGAUCUAUUCUUAUGGUCUGCUAUUUCAUACCAUUUCUCUUUUUAAAAAAGUCUUCAGAGUCUGUUUUCAGAUUUUCAUUCUCACAAUCUGUAUACAUUCACAUUAGGCUCAUGUCAGGUAGUGUAGAGUUGGGUUUAAAAACAUUGCUCCAGUUCAACAUGUCCUUAGGAUGUAGAACACCAGACAGAAGACCCCAGGAUAAGCAGUACUAUGUGGGAACCCAUUAAUAGACUUUUUCAAGUAUGGGGUUAAGUGGACAGCUCAGUCUUCAUGUACUCCUGAUGCCAAGGCAGAUCUCUUGAAAAAAAGCUGGCAGUCACCAUUAGUAGCAGAUUAAAGAGGUCUUCUGCCUGCGCCCUGGAUGAGAGGUGCCUCCUCCUCAUGAAUAGGAUCUUUGAAGUAAGGAGUUAGGCUAAAAUGAAUUACUGUCACUGAUGUGGUUAAGAACUUACUAUAAAUAGCAUCUGAAAAUUACCAAGAACAAAGUUACAGGCAAAAGACUAUUCAGCUCUCUCCCAACCAACAGAUUUGCUCAUUGCCUGAGAACUGCACUAGGAUUUCAGGGCCACAACCUUACCCCAGGAUACUGGCAACACAGACCUCAAGGGCAAACAAAUGGUUUUUCAAAAUCUAGUGCUGUGACCUGGGUAGUACAAGUUAGAGGAAAGGUAUUUCUGAUGGAAUUACCAGAAUAUAAAUUCUAUGAGAAAAGAGAUUUGCACACUGCUGUUUCCCUAGUACCCAGAAACAUACUCAACACAUAAAUACUUGUUGAAUGAAUGAAUGAGGGUUAAAAACUUCCCUGCCCGAUACAGUAGCCACUAGCGACAUGUGGCUACUGAGCACUUGAAAUGUGGCUAGUUCAAACUGAGUUGCCCUGUUAGUAUAAAACCUAUACUUGAUUUCAAAUAUUUAGUGCAAUAAAAGAGCAUAGAAUAACUCAUUCAUAAUUUUUAUGUUGAUCAUAUAUUCAAAUUACAACAUUUGGGUAUGUUGGGUUAAAGGAAAUAUAUUAAUCUUUCCUGUUUCCUUUUAAAAAUUUUUUUUAUUUCAGAGAGAGUGUGAGUGGGGAAAUGGGGGUAGAGAGGGAGAGGGAGAGAGAGACAGAGAUUAUUAGGUGGCUCCAUGCUGUGCUGAGCAUGCAGCCUGAUGUAGGGCUUGAUCCCAUGACCCCUGGGAUCAUGACCUGAACUGAAAUCAAGGUUGGACACUCAACUGACAGAGCCAUUCAGGCACCCCAAUCUUUCCUGUUUCUUAUUUUUUUCUAUCACUUUAUUUUUAUUAUUUUUAAAUUUUUUAAAUACUUAUUUAUUAUUGAGAGAGAGAGACAGGGCACAAGCAGGAGGCACAGAGAGAGGGACACCCAGAAUCCAAAGCAGGCUCCAAGCUGUCAGCACAGAACCCAAUGGGGGACCUGAACUCAUGAACCAUGGGAUCAUGACCUGAGCCGAAGUCAGACAUUUAACCAACUGAGCCCCCCCAGGCACCCCUCUUAUCACCUUUUUUUUUUAAUGUGGCUACUAGAAAAUACAGAACUACAUAUACGGUUCAUAUUACAGUAUUUUUAAGAUUUUAUUUUUAAGUAAUCUCUACACCCAACAUUAGGCUCGAACUCACAACCCUGAGAUCAAGAGUGUCAUCCAUGCUCUACAGACUGACCCAGCCAGGCGCCCCCAUAUUACAAUUCCAUUGAACAGCAUUGAUUUAGAAAAUGUGCUUCACUGCCCCAGAUAUGUCAGAAUUUGUUUUGAUAUAAAAUAUUUUACAUUACAUAGCUAUAAAUGAAAACUUCCUUAAUUCAACAAGUAACAAUGAAUGAAGGAAGAUAUGCUCUGUGUUUUCUGCAUCUUGGCAUAUGAAAAGUUUCCAAAUUAAGCAAAUUCCAAGGGGGCACUGGUCUAGAGUGACACGUGUUAAAAUAAACAAAAAAAUUUGGAGUUGUUCUUCUGAAGUAACAUAUUUUCAUAUUUACUUGAAACAUUACCUCAGAUGUAUGAGGUAGCGCAAUAACCGUUCUUCUGUAUGUCGGAUGUUCUCUUUAUUAACGCUUCUCUUCAUUUCUUGUUUAACAGGUACAGAAAAAGUUCUUUGUCGUAGGAAUGUCUGAUGAUUAGCUGGCAUAUCUCGUAAGUCAUAUAUCACAACAAACAUCUUCACCACAGUCUUAUUAGGGUUAAAUAAGGUCUGAAGAAACAAUAUAAAAAUUUUUCUUAAAAAAGUGAUUUAUUGAGUUGAUACAAAAUAAUUGUGCCAAUAAUAAAAUAGACUUUUUAAUAAGAAGUUAAUCCCACUGGAUAUAAUUUAGUUUUGGGAACUAAAGUUAAUAACAUUUUAGAAGUUUAUGAAAAGAUAUUCACUAUUUUAAAAAACGGUUCAAUUUAUUUCCUGUAACAAAUCAAAAUCUUUAGUCACAAAUUUCAUAUUAGACAAUAUAAACUUUUACUCUUUGUUCAGAUUUUUACAAAUGCUUCCACUAAAGUAAGCAAAAUACACCCUUACUGGAUUAAAAAAUUCCAGUUCACUUAUUUCAAACAUUAGCUUUAUUAAAGUGUGUCAAACCCAAAGUACUCAAAACAGAAUGUUAAUUUUCAUCACAUUUUGAUAAGUAAAUAGAAAUUGUUUUAAAAUAAAAAAGCUAGGUAAAACUAGACUUUUUGGUAUACUAGGUAUGUAUAGUUACUAUAAAAUUAAAAAUAUGUUCUAAAAAAAGAGACUUUUUCUUAUUUGGAAAUUUUUCCAAGUUUAGAAAAUAAGGUGUAUUAUUAAUUACCAAGUAGACUAAAUAAUACUUCAUGUUCUCACAGUUGGAUUCGUUUCAAAAACUGUAGUGUAAAAUCAUCAAUAUUAUAAUAGACCAAAAUAUGUAUCCUUAGUUAAGACUGAAUUAAAUUCAAUUGAUACUUGGCUAUUAAUAACCAGAGGAAUAUUAUUUUUUAAAGUACUAAUUUUUAAACAAGAUCCCAAGCUGCUGAUCUGACUUUAACCAAAUUACCAACACAUCAAUAGGUAACUUGGUGCCCGUGCUUUCAGAAGCUCAUCCGUGGCACUGGACAUCACUCACUGAAUCAAAAUGAGAAAUAUAUCAAUAUUAUGAUCCAACUUUUGAAAUCUAGUGAGUCUUAAGAUUAAGGCUAACACAUUCAACAACCACAACAACUAGCAAGCUAAAAGUUCAAACCAUGUUGAUAAAUAAUUAAACUAUAUAAGGAAUGAAAGACACACCUAAAUUUCAGAUUUAAAAUUAAUCAUUAAAGUUGGUAGUCCUCAAACAAAGGGGUAUGAACGUGCUGCCUUGGGAUUUAUGCCUCAUUCUUAUGACAACUGAGAGCUAGCUUUUCCAUGCUUUCACAUGAACUACAUAGCCAAGGGCAAGAAAACAAGAUGAUUAUCACUCUUUUUAGUUCAAGAAAUCCAUUUAACAUAAAAGUCUUACUUUAAUAUGCAAUGAUUAUUCCUCAGUGAAAUUAUAUAUAUAUAUGUAUAUAUAUGUAUAUAUAUGUAUAUAUUGCAAUAUGUGCACACAAAUGUAUCACAUAAUACCAUGUUUCAUCCCUGUGUGAUGUGAACUAAGCAAAUGUACAGAAGACUCCUUGAUGUAUUUGAACAAUAGUGAUGAGUAAAAGUGGUCUGGUGAAGCAUUGAUCACAUUGAGGCCAAAAGGCAUAAAAAGGCUUGUUGAAUUAGACCAGAUCCUGAGUAUAAGGAACUUAGCUAGACUUUUUGUUUUGUUUUUUUUUUUUAAUUUCAACUUUCUUGAGGUAUAACUGACAAAUAUCAGUUAGAUUCUUGUCAGUCUGCUAGAGCCAGCUUUAUAAUAUACUUUUGGGCAUGUAAGAUUAUCCUGGGUCUGACUUGGAGAUGAACCCAAUUGUAAACUGGCCUUGAUAUCAAAUUACUCUUCUGAAAAACCAAGACCAACGAUGAUGAAGGACUGCUUUGGGCUCAAGGAAUUCUCCUGAGCCAAAACUAGAUCAACACCUACACCAAAAGGAAAGAUGCUUUCUCUGCCCUCACAUCUGUCAGACUACAUUUCUACUUGGUGUAACCAUUUUAGUAGGUUAAUUUAGAAAUUAUUACACCAGGGAUAAUAUAAUUUUGUUUCCCAAGUUUUCCUGCAAAAGCAAUACUAGCAUUUGAGGUUUCCUUUUAAAUAGGUCAAUCUCAGUCUGACUAACUAUAUUAAAUGGAAGGAACUAGUAAAGUUCUAAUUACAUUGAAAACAGCUCUAUUUAAGUUACGUAAACUGUCAUAUACUAUUUUUCUAAAGCAUUCACCUUGAUUAGAUUAUUAAUGUUUUCCUUUUAUGGAGGUCCCCACAUGGCCAUUCCUGGGGCAGAGCAGGGAAACUCCAAAGAAAGCUGCAGCCCCACUGUUACUUACCAAAGUUGUUGCAGCAGCAGUAGCAGGAGAAAGGGCUAAGUUCUAUAUGUAUGUGAGAGAAUGAUUAUUGCAAUUGUAGACUAUAAAACACAUACCACUUGUAUUGUUCCUGAAGGAGGUACUCGAUAACCCCUUUUACCAAGGGACUCUAAAGUAAUCACACCCUUGAAAUAAAAGAAGACAAAUUGAGUACAAACUGAUGCAUAUGUAUAUGAAAGGCUAAAAUAAGUAAAAUAAAUCAUGUAAUUACUAAAAUUUUAGAAUUCUACUUGUAUGCAAAAACAUUCCCAUCAAUAGAUACAUUCUGAGUAUGAAAUAUUGAGGGUCCCACCCAAAAGGAAACAAUUUACUGUUCUUCCUGCAGAUGUUGAAAUAAAUAACAUUACACUGUUUGAAAUUUCCAUUAAGAUAUACAAUAUAGAAGUUCCUUAAAAAGGAAAUACAGUUAGAAGACAGGAUUAUUUUCUUGUAUCAUGUGGAAAGAGAGAAAUGAAAAAGCAACUAAUUUAUUGUUCUUUGGACAUACAAAAAGUAAAGAAUGCAGAAGGGUCUAAGUCUUAGCCAAUAGUGAAGUAAAUUCUUUAGUCGGUGAGUUAAAUUACAUAUAUGGAUUUCUGACUAGAGAUAGACCAGCAUAAUCAGCAUCACCUAUAAACUUGUUAGAAAUGCACAAUUUAUGGCUUCUCCGUAGAUCUAUCAAAUCAAAGCUGUAGUUUUAAGAUCCUCCAGAUGAUAUCAUAUGUACAUUAAAGUUUAAGAAGUACUAUACUUCUCUAUACUAGAGAACAUAGUUUUCUGAGAAGGAUGUUCUAAUCACUACAGAAACCCAAACAACGGGAAGCACGUAUAAAUUAAAACAAGGAAAGCUAGAAUUGAAUAUAUGCAAGUUUCUAGAGAACUAAGAUGACCAAACGACCACAGGUGGUAACUGUGAUAUUUAAUUCUUAGAAAGGGGGCUGUUUCAUUGGUUUUAACUGGGGAAAUAGUUUCGAGUAGUUAAGUAGAAUAAAUGCAUGCUCUGCAUUUCAUAUCCCAUCAUUUUACAUUGUACAUGACCAAACAUGUCAACUGAAGUAAAUAUAAAACAGGACUGUCCCAUCAGACAUUUUUGCUGGAUUUGUAAGAAAGACCAGGGUUGGUGGGUAAAAAGAAAAAGUGCACAAAGGUGAAAAGGAAAGCCAGACUCUGCUAUGUGAAUCAAAUGCCAUCCUUCGACUGUUAAAUUAACAUAUUAAUAUUAGGAAAUGUUUGUGGAAAUGGGCACUGAAAGGACAUAUGUUGUUCUUGUCUAAUGUGAUUUACCGCGUGGUCAUUUAAAGCAUAAAAACAGCAUAUUAACAAACUGCAUCUCUAACCAAAAUAAUAAUGAAGCUUUAGCAAUUUCUUAUGAUCUGCUUUAUGUGAAAAAAGCUGUGGCAUAUAAUGCCCCUCUUCUUCCUAGUUCCAGGAAAAAAAAGUAAAAUAUAUCCAAAUAAUAGCUACCUUUCAUAAUCACAUUGCUAUAGACAAUACAUUACUGUUCUUUCCUUGCCUCCUUCCCCUAAAUACGUAUAAGAAAACUAGUGGGGCAAAAACUACUACUACCAAGCCUAUGCUUAUUUCCUUUGAUACAUACAAUUCUAAUAGUUUUCAGAACAUGGUAGCAAUAAUUAAAUCAAUUUAUAAAGAGAGUAUGUGUAUUUUUAAAACUUUAUAGGUUAAGCCAACACUUCACAACCAUCUCUAAGCAACGUUAAGAUCAGUAGGGGCACUAGCAAAUUACAAAUUUUAGACAGAAAUUGGGAAAUUAUUUGGAAUUUUAUUAUUUAUUAUUGUAAUUUUAAAUAACUUAAUUAUUUAAUAAUUAUUUUUAAUAAUUAAAUUUAUUUUAGUUGGUCAGAAUAUUCAUGUUUCUACCUAUAAAAGUUACUGUACUUAUUGUAUUUAUUUUCUUAAGGUUUAUUUAUUUUGAGACAGAGAGAAAGCACAAGCAGGGGAGGGGUCAGAGAGAGAGGGAGAAAGGUGGGGAGAGAGACAAAAUCCCAAGCAGGCUUCCUCUGUCAGUGCAGAGUCCAUUGUGGGGCUCAAUCCUACCACCCUGAGCCAACGCUUAACCAACUGAGCCACCCAGGUGCCCCAAAAGUUAUUUUAACAUAAAGAAGAAAAAUACAUUUUGUCUGGUAUUUAAGGAUGGAAAAGAAAGAUGAAGAUAAACAGAAUUAAAAUCUUACACAAAAACUCCACAAAUUACUCUGCUAUAGAGAAUAUGCAUGCAGUAAGUAAAACUGAAAGAAGUUUAUCUUAAUUUGGUGAAUUACAAAUAGAGAAAGAUAACAUAUGGUCUUGUUAAUCUGAUGAUAAUUGAAGUCGUACCAUGAAUUUACCACUGGCAUGCCUUCUUUAGACCAUUCUACCUGGUUCCACCAUUCAAUAGUUUCUAAACAGUGACAUGUUGCUAUCUAACAGUUGGAGAACAUUUUUACCAGUGAUACCCAAAUUGGAGAGAGAUAUUAUGUGGCUUUUUGAGUUAAUCUUUAAGGAAUUAUUUCAUGAAAAGUCCUGUACCAGUUCUAUAUCACAAAAACAGAAUUUUCUGUACAUAAUAUUAUCUUUUGUGAGUCAUUUGUAUUAUUUGUGAUGAGAGGUCCCAAGGUAACAAGUAGGAAUUUGGUAUCUCAGUUCUGCUGGUCUGUGAUAUAUAUUAUCAAAAUGUGAUCAGUCCUUUAAAAACACACUAAACUACAAGAAUGUAAAUAAGAUUCCCUAAAUAAAUAUGAUUAAUUUUAUUAAUUUAUAGUAGGAAAGAUUUGUGGUCUAAGAUUUGGACUGGGUCAUUUGCAAAAGGAACCCAUUCCUAAUGAAUAAACUAACUUAGAAAAAAUUUAAUUACAAAAUGGAAAGCUUACUGAAGAAUAUUAUCAAAGAAAAGUAAGUCAGGGAUUCUUUAAUGUUUGCUUAUUUUUGAGAGAGAGAGAGAGAGAGGGAGGNAGGGGGAGGGGAAGAGAGAGGGAGACAAAGGAUCUGAAGCAGGCUCUAGGCUGUCAGCCCAAUGCUGGGCUCAAAUUCACAAGCCGUGAGAUCUAUGGCCUGAGCCGAAGUUGGAUGCUUAACUAAGUCAGGGAUUCUUAAAGGACAGACAAACUCAACUCAAUAACCUGAUUUCAUACUCUUUCUGGUAUCUGUUCAAAAGUUAUAACCAUUUGUGUGUACUUUCUAGAGAGAGUGACAAAACUCUUUAUCAUUUAAUCCUAUCUUUUUAGAUGUCAACCAAGGUCAAGAUAAAUGCUGUUCUACUCUUUAAAAAGCAUAGUUCAAAUUCUCUCUUCCUUGUUAAUUUCACUCAAAAAUAUUUAUUUGAGCUGAUUUCAGUCAUUCACUCUUUUAUCUUGUUUCUAACCCACCUUAAUGGUCAUUGGGGGCUUUGUACAUGAAUGACAGAUUACAAUAAAUGAGCAGACACCAUUAUGUUUUCUCAUUCGAAGUAUGAAACACUGAAGUAUGAAGCUCUUCAUUUUACUCUUAAAAUGGAGUAAGGCUAAAACAACUUUCCUUAAGCAAACAGGGCCAACAAUGAGUAGGCUAUAUUUAAGUCCCUAAAAAUGUGUAACUUCCUUUCCUUUGUUGUCUAUUACAUAGAUUUCUCUUUUCACAACCUUUAGUUCUUUCUUGAAAAUCUAGAAGGUUGUGGAGAAGGAUAUUAGAGGAAGCAAUUGGGCCAAGUGGGAAGCUAGAAAAUUCAAAUAGCAAGGCCAGGGCUGUAUAUUUCUAUAACUAUAGCAGUCUGUAUUUCUCAAAGUAAGACCUAACAUGAAAACACAGAUGUAACCCCUUAUUUGAGACCAUUACUGUAAACUAUGUAUACACUUGCAGGGUUAGCCACUUCUCUUUCUUUGUCUUUUGUAAAAGGGCUGAUACGAAACAUGCACCAAAACUUAGUAUUAUUUUUGCAGUUAAAGGCUUAUUUUAUUCUCAAGUGAUCAGAAUAACAAAAUGGGAAAGACGUAAUCAUGGGAUCAUUGAGUCAAAACUGUGCUUUUACUUAGCUAUCCUACUCUUCACUAGAACAUUAGUGUGGAAAACAGAAAUAGCUAGUAUUCUAAACAACUCUAGGAUUAGAAAAAAAUGGUCUCGAAACAAACAGCAUAAAGAGAGUGAAAGAGUCCAACAGAAGACUUAAUAACUCACCAAAUCUUUACCUAAAUCUUCCUGAAAUGAGGAUCACAUGUGAAGGCAACACUUAUGGGACCAGAGUAUAUAGUAAGUACUUGAGAAUUUGUCUGAAUUCAGCAAGAUAUGAAAUCAUAGUGUCACUAAUAAAAGUUUUAUCAUGUUUUUAAAUCACACAGAAACAAGAAAAUUUUCAGCAGAUCCUCAAAUGCAAAAGAGGAUAUUUGUUAGAGCUAGCUCAGAAAGAAGUUGUGAGAUAACAUGUCAGUACUUUUGUUUCUAUUCAGCCUUCAAUUUUCUCUUAGGAAGUGCUUUAUGUUUUCAAGUAUUACCACAAUGCAGUAUUAAAUUUCUUUAAAUUUAAAGACACUUGCGAUUUAAUUGGUUGAUUUUAGCAGACAGAGACAAUUUUUUAAAAUACUUGCCAUAUAAGGAGAGGGAGCAUUAUCAUCUGAAACACUGUAGAAUGACACUUCAACUGGAAGAGUCAAAUGUGUGGGGCAGAAAAUACCACUUGCCCCUACCUCAGCAGUAAAACCAUCAACAAUGCCAAGAGGAUCUAAACGAUAGUUCAAGACAGACUCCUGGAAGACAAAAUAAAUUUUAAGAAACAAAUUUUAGAAGUUAACACAUUCAUUUCUUUUUUCAUUUAAAGAAAAACAUUACUAUGAUUUCUGGUACCAAAAAAAAUAGUUGCUACUCAAACAGAAUCCAACAAUAUGUUAAAAAAAUCAUUUCUCACUAUCAAGUGGGAUUUAUUCCAGGAAUCCAAGGAUGGUUCAGUAUUUGAAAAUCAAUAAACAUGAUAGUCACUUCAAUAAGAAAAAAGAUAAAAAUUAUAUGAUCAUUUCAACAGAUGCAAAAAAAGCAUUUGAUCAAGUACAAUAUCUAUUCAUAAUAAAAUCCCUCAACAAAGUAGGUUUAGAGGGAACAUACCUUAACACAAUAAAGGCCUUAAAUAAAAACCCACAGCUAAAAUCAUACUCAGUGGGGAAAAACUGAGAGCUUUUCCCCUAAGAUCACCAACAAGACAAGGGUGUCCACUCUGAAGUCCUAGCAACAGCAAUCAGACAACAAAAAGAAUAAAAGGAAUCCAGAUUGGUAAGGAAGAAGUAAAAUUAUCACUCUAUGCAGAUGACAUGAUCCUAUAUUUAGAAAACCCUAAAGACUCCACCAAAAAAACUACUAGAACUGAUAAAUGAAUUCAGUAAAGUCUCAGGCUACAAAAUCAGUGUGCAGAAAUCUGUUCCAUGUCUAUAUACUAAUAAGGAAGCAGGAGAAAGAGAAAUUAAGAAAACAAUCCUACUUAAAAUUGUACCAGAAAUAGUAAGAUACCUAGGAAUAAACCUAAUCAAAGAGGUAAAAAGACCUAUACUCUGAAAACUAUAAAACAAUGAUGAAAGAAAUUAAAGAGGACACACAAGAAAUGAAAAGAUAUUAUAUGCUCAUGGAUUGGAAGAGCAAAUAUAGUUAAAAUUUCUGUAUUACCGAAAGACAUCUGCAUAUUUAAUGCAACCCCUAUCAAAAUAACAACAGCAUUUUUCACAGAACUAGAGAAAAAAUACUAAAAUUUAUAUGGAACCCUAGAAGACCCCAAAUAACAAGAGAAAUUUUUUAAAGUUUAUUUUAAGAAAGAGUGCAAGCAGGGGAGGGGCAGAAAGGGGAAGAGAGAGAGAAUCCCAAGCAGGCUCCACACUAUCAGUGUGGAGCCCGAUGUUGACUCAAACCCAUGAACUGUGAGAUCAUAACCUCAGUGGAAAUCAAAAGUUGGACACUAAACUGACUGAGCCACCCAGGUACCCCAACCAAAACAAUUUUGAAAAAGAAAAGCAAAGCUGAAGACAUCAUAAUUCCAGACUUCAAGUUAUAUUACAAAGCUGUAGUCAUCAAUAUAGUAUGGUACUGGCACAAAAAUAGACACAAUAGAUCAAUAGAACAGAAUAGAAAACCCAGAAAUAAACCCCCAACUAUAUGGUCAAUUAAUCUUUGACAAGGGAGGAAAGAAAAUCCAGUGGGGAAAAGACAGUCUGUUCAACAAACGGUGUUGAGAAAACUAGACAGCUACAUAUGAAAGAAUUAAAGUGGACCACUUCCUUACAUCAUACACAAAAAUAAUUCAAAAUGGAUUCAAGACCUAAAUGUGAGACACCUAAAACCAUAAAAAUACUGGAAGAGAGCACAAGCAGUAAUGUCCCUGAUGUCAGCCACAGCAAUAUUUUUCUAAAUAUGUCUCCUGAGACACGGGAAAUAAAAGCAAAAAUAAACUAUUGGGGCUACAUCAAAAUAAAAAACUUCCGCACAGCGAAGAAAACAAUCAACAAACCUAAAAGGUAACUUAAUGAGAGAAGAUAUUUGCAUACGACAUAUAUGAUAAAGGAUUAGUAUCCAAAAUAUACAAAGAGCUCACACAACUCAACACCCAAAAAAAAAAUAAUCCAACUAAAAUAUGGGCAGAAGAUAUGAACAAGCACUUCUCCAAAGAAGUCGUAUAGGUAGCCAACAGACAAAUGAAAAAAUGUUCAACAUCCCUCAUCAUUAGGGAAAUGCAAAUCAAAACUACAAUAAGAUAUUGCCUCACACCUGUCAGAAUGGCUAAAAUAAAAAACAUACACAAUAAGUAUUGGCAAAAAUGUAAAGAAAAAGGAACUCUCUUGUACUCUUGGUGAGAAUCCAAACUGGUGUAGGCACUGUGGUGAACAGUAUGGAGGUUUCUGGGGUGUCUGGGCAGCUCAUUCGGUUAAGCCUCCAACUUCAGCUCAGCUCAUGAUCUCACAGUUUGUAGGUUUGAGCCCCAUGCUGGGCUCUGUGCUGACAGCUCAGAGCCUGGAGCCUGCUUCAGUUUCUGUGUCUCCCUCUCUCUCUGCCCCUCCCCUGCUUGUGCUGUUGAUUCUCCCGCUCUCAAAAAAUGUUAAAAAACAAAUUAAGAAAGAAAAAAACAGCAUGGAGGUUCCUCAAAAAGUUAAAAACUAGAACUACCCUACAAUCCAGUAACCACACUACUAGAUAUGUACAGAAAAGAUACAAAAACACUAUUCAAAGGGAUACAUGCACCCCUGUGUUUACAGCAGCAUUAUUUACAAUCGCCAAAUUAUGGAAGCAGCCUACAAUACAUGAAUGUAAGAUAUAGGGUGUGUGUGUGUGUGUGUGUGUGUGUGUGUGUAUGUGUAGCAGUAUGUAUGUAUGUAUAUACAUAUAUAUAUACAUAUAUAUAUAUAUAUAUAGCAGUAUAACUGUGUGUAUGUGUAUAGAUACUUACACACACACACACACACACACACACACACACACACAAACACAAUGAAGUAUUAUUCAGCCAUAUAAAAGAAUGAAGCCUUGGCAUUUGCAACAACAUAGAUGGAGCUAGAGAGUAUAAUCCUAAGCAAAAUAAAUCAAUCACAGACAAUUACCGUAUGAUUUCACUCAUGUAGAAUUUAAGAAACAAAACAAACAAGUAAAGGAAAAAGCGUUAACCCAAGAGCGUUAACCCAAGAAGCAGACUCUCAUCUAUAGAGAACUGAUGGUUACCAGAGGGGAGGUGGGUGGGGGGAUGGGUGAAAUAAGUGAUGGGGAUUAAAGAGUGCACUUGUCAUUGAAGAGCAUAGGGUAAUGUACAGAAUUGUUGAAUCACUACAUUGUACACCUGAAAUUAAUAUAACUGUAUGUUAACUAUGCUGGAAUUAAAAUCAAAUUAAAUUAAAAAUAAAAAUAAAUAAAUGACAGGUUAAACCCCCCCAAAAAAAGUUGCUACUAUUUUCAAGUCCUUAUUCAGAUGUUCAUUUGAACCGAAAUCAACUUUUCUCUCUCAAUCUUCUACAAUCCUAUGAAGUUUGGCCUCCUCUCACUAUUCCAAUGCACACUGAACUAUCCUUAAACUUCACCACUGUUCAAACCUAAUUAUUUAAUAUGUUAUUCUUAUCUCUGUAAAUAAAACUAUGUUCUACCAGAGCAGGUAUAAUAGAAAUUUUCUUACCCUUCAUAGAGCCUAUUCAAGGUGCUAGACACAGAGAAGCACUUAAAAUCUUGUUAACACUCUCAAGCUCACUUGAUGACAUAAUCACUUGUAACAAUUUAGUGCUAACUUGCUACGUAUAAGAAACAUUUUAGGGGCACCUGGCUGGCUCAGUUAGUAGAGCAUGCAACUCUUGAUCUCAUGGUUUUAAGUGAGCCCCAUGUUGGGUUUAGAGAUUACUUUAAAAACCUUAAAAAUAUAAAGAUUUAAUAUUCUUAAGAUGUCACUUUUCCACAUAUUGACCUAUUAUCAACGCAAUCCAAACAAAAUCUCAGCAGUCUGUUUUGUAGGAAUAGGUAAGCUAACUCUAAAAUUUACAUGAUGAAGGGGAAAGGAACUACAAUAGUUGAAGCAAUUUUAAGGAAGAAUAGGGGUGCCUGGGUGACUCAGUCAGUUAAGCAUCUGACUUCAGCUCAGGUCAUGAUCUGGCAGUUUGUGAGUUUGAGCCCUGCGUUGGCAUCUGUGCUAACAGCUCGGAGCCUGAAACCUGCUUUGGAUUCUGUGUCUCCCUCUCUUUUUGCCCCUCCCCCAUUUGCACUCCGUCUCUUUCUCCCUCUCAAAAAUAAACAUUAGAUUUUUUUUUUUAAAAGAAAGAAUAACAUGUUAGAGAACUCACAUUAGUUCAUGUCAAUUCUAAAAUAAUUGGGCAUUCAUGUUCAUAAAAAUGAAACUGGACUAUAAACUACAUAUCAUAUAUAAAUCUUAACUCGAAAUGGAUCACACAACUAAAUGUAAGAGCUAAAACAAUAAAACUUGUAGGAAAAAAGUUUUGUGACCUUGGGGUCAAGCAAAUAGUUCUCAACCACGGUACAUGUGUCAAUGUUUAGAGAUAUUUUUUACUGCUAUACCUGGGGGGUAAGGGGCAGACGAUGGUACUGAACUCUAAUGGACAGAGGCCAAAGAUUCUACUAAAUAUCAUAUAAUGCAUCAAACAGAUCCCAUAACAAAGAAUUAUCUGGCUCAAAUAUCAAUAGUGCCAUGGUGGAGAAGUGUUGGGUUAGAUUUUUCAGAUGCACUAUCAAAAUUAAGAUCCAUAAAAGAAAAGAAUAAAUUGGACAUUUAACAAAACUAAAAUUAAAAUCUAUUGCUCUUCAGGGGCGUCUGGGUAGCUCAGCUGGUUGAGUGUCCAACUCUUGAUUUCUGCUCAGGUCAUGAUCCCAAGGCCGUGGGCUGGACGCCCACAUUGGGCUCCAUACUGAGCGAGUAGCGUACUUGGGAUUCUCUCCCUCUGUCUUUCUCCCAUGCUUGCAUUCCCUCAUUCUCUCUCUCUCUCAAAAACCAUAAAUGAAAAAAAUAAUUAUUUGGAAAACAUUAUGUGCUUACUUGGGAAAGAAAAGCUAAAUGAUAAAGCACAGAAAAGAGGCUCAACAGUAUGAGUAAUCAGGGAAAUACAAAUUAAAACCACAGUUCAACAGCAUUGCAAAACUACUAGAAUGAUUAAAAUUAAAACGACUGACCCAUGCAAACACUGGCAAGGAUGUGGAUGAUCUAGAACCCCCAUACACUACUAGUAGGAAUUAAACAUGGUAUAACCACUUUGGAAAACACCUUGGCAGUUUCUUAAAAGAAGUUAAAGAUAUACCUACCAUACUACCCAGACAUUCCAUUCCUAGGUAGUUACCCAAACAAAAUGAAAACUUAUGUCCACACAAAAAUGCAUCCAUGAAUAUCCACAGCAGCUUUAUUUGUAAUAGCCCCAAACUAGAAACGACCCAAAGGCCUAGAAUCAAGUGAGUGAAUAAACAAAUAGUGGUAUAUCAAUAUAAUGGAAAUAAAAAGAAAUAAACUCUUGAUACAAAGGACAACUAUAAAUUAAAGAGAACUUAUGGGUUGGACAGUCUCAGAACGUCUCUGUAUUUUUCUACUGAAGUCAAGUGAAAAUAUAUGCAUAUCUGCACAAAUAACAU
rnacentral:lncRNA from 1 species